AACGAACGCUGGCGGCAUGCCUAACACAUGCAAGUCGAACGAGCCCUUCGGGUCUAGUGGCGCACGGGUGCGUAACGCGUGGGAACCUGCCCUUAGGUUCGGAAUAACUCCCCGAAAGGGGUGCUAAUACCGGAUAAUGUCUUCGGACCAAAGAUUUAUCGCCUUUGGAUGGGCCCGCGUUGGAUUAGCUAGUUGGUAGGGUAAAAGCCUACCAAGGCGACGAUCCAUAGAUGGUCUGAGAGGAUGAUCAGCCACACUGGGACUGAGACACGGCCCAGACUCCUACGGGAGGCAGCAGUGGGGAAUAUUGGACAAUGGGCGAAAGCAUGAUCCAGCAAUGCCGCGUGAGUGAUGAAGGCAUUAGGGUUGUAAAGCUCUUUUACCCGGGAUGAUAAUGACAGUACCGGGAGAAUAAGCUCCGGCUAACUCCGUG
rnacentral:rRNA from 1 species